GCCGGGAUAGCUCAGUUGGUAGAGCGGCGCAUUCGUAAUGCGUAGGUCGGGAGUUCGAAUCUCCCUCCUGGCACCA
rnacentral:tRNA from 1 species